GUGAGCAUGUGCAAGAGGAGGGUAGAAAGGAGGGAGAAUAUGGGAAUAACAGAAAAGGAGCAGUGAUAGCAGAAUCAAACUUCCUGAUUAAGCUGAGCAAUUAACUUAGUUGAACAUGAGGACUAAAGGUAUAAGCAGCAUGUCAGGACAGCACCAGCCAAAAAGCAACCCAGAGACCCAGCCAUUCCAAGCCAGCAAGACCAACCAAAUUUAUAUUGGAUGCCAAGAAAUAUAUUGUGCAAAACCAGAGAAGAACGUUCUACAUAAACAUCAACAGCAUACCACACUGAACCAAUGAUUCCUGGGGCACCUGAAAGAAAGAAAAGUUGCUAAAAUAAUACAGGCUUUCCAAAUGGGUGACCCUUCUUGGCCAACAUUCCAUCUUAACCCUUUAAUCUUGCACUGUCAACUGAGCAAAUUUCAACUAUGGCCAAUGAGAAUAUGUGGUAGAAGGUCCAGGGAAGACGGUAU